rnacentral:rRNA from 1 species
UACGGAGGGAGCUAGCGUUGUUCGGAAUUACUGGGCGUAAAGCGCGCGUAGGCGGCGAUUUAAGUCAGAGGUGAAAGCCCGGGGCUCAACCCCGGAAUAGCCUUUGAGACUGGAUUGCUAGAAUCCUGGAGAGGUGAGUGGAAUUCCGAGUGUAGAGGUGAAAUUCGUAGAUAUUCGGAAGAACACCAGUGGCGAAGGCGGCUCACUGGACAGGUAUUGACGCUGAGGUGCGAAAGCGUGGGGAGCAAACAGGAUUAGAUACCCUUGUAGUCAGGGCCGAGUACAGU